CCUACGGGCGGCAGCAGUGAGGAAUAUUUGUCAAUGGACGAGAGUCUGAACCAGCCAAGUAGCGUGAAGGAUGACUGCCCUAUGGGUUGUAAACUUCUUUUAUAAAGGAAUAAAACGAGGCACGUGUGCCUUUUUGCAUGUACUUUAUGAAUAAGGAUCGGCUAACUCCGUGCCAGCAGCCGCGGUAAUACGGAGGAUCCGAGCGUUAUCCGGAUGUAUUGGGUUUAAAGGGAGCGUAGAUGGGUUGUUAAGUCAGUUGUGAAAGUUUGCGGCUCAACCGUAAAAUUGCAAUUGAUACUGGCAGUCUUGAGUACAGUUGAGGUAGGCGGAAUUCGUGGUGUAGCGGUGAAAUGCUUAGAUAUCACGAAGAACCCCGAUUGCGAAGGCAGCUUACUAAACUGUGACUGACAUUGAUGCUCGAAAGUGUGGGUAUCAAACAGGAUUAGAUACCCUGGUAGUC
rnacentral:rRNA from 1 species